rnacentral:tRNA from 2 species
AUGCCGAUAGUAUAAUAAGUACAAUUGCCUUCCAAGCAGAAAGACCUAAACAUGGUCGGCAUA